rnacentral:rRNA from 1 species
AUUGAACGCUGGCGGCAGGCCUAACACAUGCAAGUCGAACGAGUGGCGGACGGGUGAGUAAUGUCUGGGACACUGCCUGAUGGAUGGGGAUCACUACCGGAAGCGGUAGCUAAUACCGCAUACAUUCAGCUGUGCCCAGGUGGGAUUAGCUUGUUGGUGGGGUAACGGCUCACCAAGGCGACGAUCCCUAGCUGGUCUGAGAGGAUGACCAGCCACACUGGAACUGAGACACGGUCCAGACUCCUACGGGAGGCAGCAGUGGGGAAUAUUGCACAAUGGGCGCAAGCCUGAUGCAGCCAUGCCGCGUGUAUGAAGAAGGCCUUCGGGUUGUAAAGUACUUUCAGCGGGGAGGCGUUACCCGCAGAAGAAGCACCGGCUAACUCCGUGCCAGCAGCCGCGGUAAUUC